UACGGAGGGUGCAAGCGUUGCUCGGAAUCAUUGGGCGUAAAGGGGAGGUAGGUGGUCUUAUUUGUCUAGGGUGAAAUCCUUGAGCUUAACUCAAGAAGUGCCCUAGAAACGGUAAGACUAGAGUCCUGGAGAGGGUCGUGGAAUUCCUGGUGUAGCGGUGAAAUGCGCAGAUAUCAGGAGGAACACCGGUGGCGAAGGCGGGUCUCUGGGCCGUAACUGACGCUGGAGGAGCGAAAGCGUGGGGAGCGAACAGG
rnacentral:rRNA from 1 species